UACAGCCAUAUCACAUUGAAACAUCGAUUCCUGUAUGAUCACUGAAGUUAAGCAAUGCCAAGCUUGGUCAGUACCUAGAUGGGUGACAGCUUGGGAAUAACAGGUGCUAUA